UACGUAGGGGGCAAGCGUUGUCCGGAAUUAUUGGGCGUAAAGAGCUCGUAGGUGGUUUGUUACGUCCGCUGUGAAAUCCUAGGGCUUAACCCUGGGCUUGCAGUGGAUACUGCCGGGCUAGAGUCCGGAAGAGGCGAGUGGAACUCCUGGUGUAGCGGUGGAAUGCGCAGAUAUCAGGAAGAACACCAACGGCGAAGGCAGCUCGCUGGGACGGUACUGACGCUGAGACGCGAAAGCGUGGGGAGCGAACAGG
rnacentral:rRNA from 1 species